GCCAUAGAUCCCUUCUCUUUGGGGAAUUCAAAUACGGUAUACUUAGAUCUCUUUCCAUCCUCAUCUGAAGGAUGAUUUGGUCUUUAAUGGCAUCCCAAUAAACUGCUUGAUUAGAUUUCCAGUUCCGUGCCAGAACAAUUUUAAAUGCAACAAGACAAUGAAUUAUAAAACAACUAUUUAUAUAUGACAUAUUCGGCCAGUGCAUAUGUAACAAGACUACCUCUGGUUUCUUUUCUAAUUCUAUUCCAGUGUUAUCUUUAAUAAAUCCUAUCGUUCUCUUAAUAGAGGUCUGAAUGUUUAAACAACUCCACCAAAUGUGGAGAAAUGAACCUUCCUCUUUAUCGCAUCUCCAACAUCUAGAGGUGACUCCAGGGUACAUCUGAGAAAGCUUGCUAGGAACCAAAUACCAUCUAUACAUAACCUUGUAAUAAGUUUCUAAUAAAUUUAAACAUUGAACCUGUCGACGAGUAUUAUUUAUAGCUUUACACCAAUCUUCUUGUUCUAAGGAACACUUCAGAUCUUUUUCCCAUUUGGUCCUCUGGGGGAAAUUAACUACCUCAUUAGUAUUUCUAGUUAUCUCUAUUGCUUUAGCUAAGACUUUCGGUAUAUUCUGAUUUGAAAAUAUGCGUUUUAUCAAUUUAUGCGCUUUUCCAGAAUC